CAUUUCUAGUUUAUAGUGAAAAUGUUAGUUUGUCGUGCUAGAGAAGAUUUUAGAUCGAAAUGGGU
rnacentral:tRNA from 1 species